CGCAUCUGUGCAUGCAGCAUAUCAAUAAGCGGAGGAAAAGAAACUAACAAGGAUUCCCCUAGUAACGGCGAGUGAAGCGGGAAGAGCUCAAAUUUGAAAUCUUAAAGGGUUUCCCUUUACGAAUUGUAGUUUAAAGAAGUGUUUUCUGUUGAGGUUUUGGUAAAGUUCUUUGGAAUAGGACAUCAUAGAGGGUGAGAAUCCCGUAUUUGACCUUUACUUUCAACUUUGUGAUACACUUUCAAAGAGUCGGAUUGUUUGGGAAUGCAGUCCAAAAUGGGUGGUAAAUUUCAUCUAAAGCUAAAUAUUGGCGAGAGACCGAUAGCGAACAAGUACCGUGAGGGAAAGAUGAAAAGAACUUUGAAAAGAGAGUUAAACAGUACGUGAAAUUGUCAAAAGGGAAGCGUUUGACACCAGUGUUGUUUUUCUGAAAAUCAAUUAAAGAACUGUUUAUGCUAAGUUGUUUAGACUUUAUCAGCUAACUGUUUAGUUUUGAGCUUUUCUUUAAUGCACUUUUCAGUUAACAAGUCAACAUCAAUUUCUUUUGCUGUAAAAAAGCUUGAGGAAGGUGGCUUGAGAUUCGUCUUAAGUGUUUAUAGCCUCUUUAGCCUCUGCAGUCGGAGAGAUUGAGGUCUGCAGCGUAGAUCCUUCGGGGUUAAAUGCACUUUGUGCUAAGUUAUAGCAUUUCAUAGACAACUUGUUGAUUAUGAUUAGUCUUGUAGCUUACUCGCUUAGUGCUAUUUUACCUACGCUUAGGAUGUUGAGUAGCGACAUACGCAC
rnacentral:rRNA from 1 species